rnacentral:rRNA from 1 species
GGUUAAGUGACUAAGCGUACACGGUGGAUGCCUUGGCAGUCAGAGGCGAUGAAGGACGUAGUAACUUGCGAUAAGCGUAGAUGAGGCAGUAACAGCCACUUGAGUCUACGAUUUCCGAAUGGGGAAACCCACUGGCAUAAGCCAGUAUCAUUGAGUGAAUACAUAGCUCAAUGAAGCGAACCGGGAGAACUGAAACAUCUAAGUACCCCGAGGAAAAGAAAUCAACCGAGAUUCCGAAAGUAGCGGCGAGCGAAAUUGGAUUAGCCCUUAAGCUUUACAUGUGUUAGACGAACGGUCUGGAAAGUCCGACGAUACAGGGUGAUAGUCCCGUAGUUGACGAUGCAUGUUCAGUGAAAUCGAGUAGGGCGGGACACGUGUUAUCCUGUCUGAAUAUGGGGGGACCAUCCUCCAAGGCUAAAUACUCCUGACUGACCGAUAGUGAACCAGUACCGUGAGGGAAAGGCGAAAAGAACCCCUGUGAGGGGAGUGAAAUAGAACCUGAAACCGUGUACGUACAAGCAGUAGGAGCACCUUCGUGGUGUGACUGCGUACCUUUUGUAUAAUGGGUCAGCGACUUAUAUUCAGUGGCAAGGUUAACCAUCUAGGGGAGCCGUAGGGAAACCGAGUCUUAACUGGGCGCCAUAGUCUCUGGAUAUAGACCCGAAACCGAGUGAUCUAGCCAUGGGCAGGUUGAAGGUUGAGUAACAUCAACUGGAGGACCGAACCGACUAAUGUUGAAAAAUUAGCGGAUGACUUGUGGCUAGGGGUGAAAGGCCAAUCAAACUCGGAGAUAGCUGGUUCUCCCCGAAAGCUAUUUAGGUAGCGCCUCGGACGAAUACUACUGGGGGUAGAGCACUGUUAAGGCUAGGGGGUCAUCCCGACUUACCAACCCUUUGCAAACUCCGAAUACCAGUAAGUACUAUCCGGGAGACACACGGCGGGUGCUAACGUCCGUCGUGGAGAGGGAAACAACCCAGACCGCCAGCUAAGGUCCCAAAUUACAGCUAAGUGGGAAACGAUGUGGGAAGGCUUAGACAGCUAGGAUGUUGGCUUAGAAGCAGCCAUCAUUUAAAGAAAGCGUAAUAGCUCACUAGUCGAGUCGGCCUGCGCGGAAGAUGUAACGGGGCUAAGUUGUAAACCGAAGCUGCGGCAAUGUUCUAUGAACAUUGGGUAGGGGAGCGUUCUGUAAGCCGUUGAAGGUGUGUUGUAAAGCAUGCUGGAGGUAUCAGAAGUGCGAAUGCUGACAUGAGUAACGACAAGGGGGGUGAAAAACCUCCCCGCCGGAAGACCAAGGGUUCCUGUCCAACGUUAAUCGGGGCAGGGUAAGUCGACCCCUAAGGCGAGGCUGAAAAGCGUAGUCGAUGGGAAACGGGUUAAUAUUCCCGUACUUCUUACAAUUGCGAUGGGGGGACGGAGAAGGCUAGGUGGGCCUGGCGACGGUUGUCCAGGUUCAAGUGCGUAGGCUGAGUGUUUAGGUAAAUCCGGACACUCUUAAGGCUGAGACACGACGUCGAGCUACUACGGUAGUGAAGUCAUUGAUGCCAUGCUUCCAGGAAAAGCCUCUAAGCUUCAGAUUGUAAGGAAUCGUACCCCAAACCGACACAGGUGGUCGGGUAGAGAAUACCAAGGCGCUUGAGAGAACUCGGGUGAAGGAACUAGGCAAAAUGGUACCGUAACUUCGGGAGAAGGUACGCUCUUGAUGGUGAAGUCCCUUGCGGAUGGAGCUGACGAGAGUCGCAGAUACCAGGUGGCUGCAACUGUUUAUUAAAAACACAGCACUGUGCAAAAUCGUAAGAUGACGUAUACGGUGUGACGCCUGCCCGGUGCCGGAA